rnacentral:rRNA from 1 species
GACGAAGGGGGCUAGCGUGUUCGGAAUUACUGGGCGUAAAGCGAGUGUAGGUGGUUGUCCAAGUUGGAUGUGAAAGCCUUGAGCUCAACUCAAGAAAUGCAUUCAGGACUGGGCGGCUAGAGGACCGGAGAGGAUAGUGGAAUUCCCAGUGUAGUGGUGAAAUACGUAGAGAUUGGGAAGAACACCGAUGGCGAAGGCAGCUCGCUGGGACGGUACUGACGCUGAGGUGCGAAAGCGUGGGGAGCAACAGG